ensembl:lncRNA
UUUCCUCUCGAGCUGCAAAAGUAGUGUCAGACUUUCUGACAAUUUCCCUGACCUUUUCCUAGGUCCCAGAGCCCAUCCAGGCCUGUUUCUGACACAUUCUUUGCUAGGUCAGCCAUGUAUUGAAUCUUGCCUUUGGGAAGUCCCAGGGCACAAGCUCCAUGUGAUACCAGCCCCAGGUUGAAAGGCAUGUAGGUGUUGUAGGCUGACAGAACAAGGAAGUAGAUGAGAGAUUGACCCCACUCUGCAGAUGAAGAAACUAGGGAAACCCUGAGGGGCAUAUGGCUUGUCAAGGGCCACAUCACAGAUGAGAAGAAGGAGCCUGUCUGAAAGAGCUGUGUCCUCAGAGCUCAGGCCCUGGCUGCACCGAGGCCUGCCAAAGCUGUGGGGUGAGCAGUGUGGGUGUCACUGUGCCUGCACAUGGCCUAAGGGGGUGGGUGAACAGACAGAAAUCCAGAGGUUCGCUUAGAGAGCUUUGUGUAAGGGACUUCAGCAAGGAACCCAGGAAAUGACAUCACUUCCUGGCACCAGAACCCAACAGAACACGGAAACCGGAUUUCCAGGCCUCACAGCAGAGAGGAGCCCCCAGCCAGUUCGCAGGCAGCCAGGAUGUUUAACUGUUUGCUCCUUCCCAGAGGCGGGGCCUCUGAGGUGUGUGGGAACGCAGUCGGUGCUGCCUAAGGAUCCCCCCGAGAGGCCUCUGGUCCCUUGCCUGAAGAAACAGAAAGCAGAAUUUUGAGCAGGCAGAAGCAGCCGCCAUACUGGUCAGGCCCAUCUCAGUAAACUCCAGGCAAGGCUGGCCGACAGUCAGUGUCAUUUCAGAGCUUCUCAGUCGAUGUGGCUGAUUACGGGGGCACCCUGUUCACCUCCCCGAGGGAGGCGUCAGAUCACCACCCCCUGCUGGUCAGGCCCAAUGCAGGCUCCAGGUGAGCGUGCCCAUGGGGGAUCACCCCAACUGGGAAUGAAGAGGAAGCGGGGAAGGCCUGCUCCACACACACCACCCAGGACACACCCCGGGGCCCAGUCUCAGGCUGCCAUGGAGCUCAGCACACCCGGCUCUGAUCCUGAGCCCCGAGAAACCCUGCCUCUGAGGCAGCAGGAGGACCUGGAGCCCAGCAUGGCAGAGCACAGAGGAACCCCAGCCACAGGCACUGAUGUCCCACACCCUCAGCGAGAACAUCCACCUCCACCUGCAACUGUACCUGCUUGGGCUUUAGCAGGAGAACCCAAGUCAUGGGAUGAGUCACCACCUCUGCAGGGAGAGACUGCCCUGCCUCCUGCCUAAGACCCAGAUGCCCAUGAUGACUGACCCACCCCUGCAGGGAGAAUGGACCCCCAUUCUGGACAGAGACCCGGAGUCCUUUCUGGAAACACCUCGUCCAGGGGAGCAGGUUGGCUCUGCAGCCUCUGUCCCUGCCUGCUUCCCGUGGAUGCCAUCAACUCGCUUCCCACCCAGGGCAGAUUGAGUUCCCCUCCUCUGAGCUUAUUUGCAGCUGGUGUGUGUGUAGCUUUUUUGUGAUAUUUUAU